UUGUCUGGUUAUCUUGUUCCCCUAUUCAUGUCCGCAUGGGAAGACGAAAGACCACAUUUGCCAUUUUUAAAGGAUGGAUAUGAACUCAGAAAACUAAUUUUGGGCCAACUACUAACAUUCAAGGACAAUGAAUGUGAAGAUAACAUGCCUGCUGGUGUACUGGACUUCAUCAAUUGUAUUAGGAAAAUCCAAAGUUAAACGGGGAGCUCAAUCAGUGGAAGGUAAUUUGUCAGAGAGAUUUCUUGCAGCCAACAGUUAAUAGACAAUGAGCAGGGAGACGAUGAACAUGUAGAGAUGGAUUUUUUUCCUUUGAGAAAUUAAUAGUAGAUUUUGGUUUCUACUUAAGAUAUCCCUUACAUAUAUGUAGAAAACUUUUGGAGCUUGCCAGGAUAUACAUUUUUGGGGGUUGCCAAUUAUAAGAGAUGACGGAUUGCUUCAAAAUUAUAAGAGGCCGAGCUCCACGGAGGCCUUUAUUUGAAAACUUCUAAAUCCAAACUUUUUAGUUUCAAAAAAUUCUGAAAAUAAAUACACAUAUACGUAGAUACAUAAUGCACAUGUAACUUCUAAAUCCAAACUUUUUAGUUUCAAAAAAUUCUGAAAAUAAAUACACAUAUACCUAGAUACAUAAUGUACAUCUGUGCAAAUUUUCAGGUCGAAAUACAUUAAAAUGUGAGCUACACAAAAAAGACAAAUCUAUAUGUACUGUACCAAAAAAAUUGCUUUGUAUUUCCCUCUAACGUCACUGUAGAGUGUACGUACAUGUAUGGUGUUGAUGAAAAAAUUAACGUUUGGAUUGGUAUAUUUACUUAAUUCUCAAGAGCUAAACGAGAAUAUAUUCAUAAAAAACGUAAUUUAAACAGGCUACAGAGUUUAGCAGGCUUGACCUAACUUUGGCUAGAGAAAAAAAAACACAUAAUUUUGGUUCAAAUCCUGAGUCUUCAGUCACACAGGAAAAAAAAUCAACUAAUGACUUUUAUUGAGUUGAACUUUGCCAGGAGCAUUUUUUCGAAAAUCUAUUUCCUUUUUUCUAUUAUAUUUUCCACUGAGACAGAGAUCCUUGAAUGAAAGUUCCACUGAGACAGAGAUCCUUAAAUAUAUAUGUUUCAUGGUCUGUUCAACUUGCUUUGUAUUUCCCUCUAACGUCACUGUAGAGUGUACGUACAUGUAUGGUGUUGAUGAAAAAACAACGUUUUGGAUUAGUAUAUUUACUUAAUUCUCAAUAGCUAAACAAUAAUAUAUUCAUAAAAACACGUAAUAGGGUUAAGUGCUUUGCACGGACAUUUUUCCCGUGUUUUCACGUAAUUCGUGUUUCAUGUGUCAAUUGCACGGACAUUGUGUUGUCUAUGUAUCCACACAUGUAUCUGAGUUUCCUAUCAAUACAAUUUUAGCAUGGAUAAUAAACGAUUAUCAUGAACAAGGAAAUAUAAUAAUAACCAAUUUAUUAUUGCCUCUAGGGCAUAUUUCCAACACACUCACCGGCGGCAUAUCUUCUGUUUUUCUCAUAUAUCAUCCAUCCAUCCAUCUUCCUUCUUUUGAUAUUUCAAAUCAGGAUCAUCUGCUUCCUCAGUUUCAACUUCUUUGCCCAUCCUUUCCUAUUGAUCCAGCCGGUUUAUUGAUUUCAACUCGCAGCAGUAUUUAAAUUGGUUUAUUUGAAUGUAGGGGAGCAAGGUGGGAUUAUAUAGUAGAUAGAUGUUAUAGCUUCUGUUGGGACGCCCCCUUCUGCCUGCGCGUGGUCUAUUAUUUGCAACGGGAGAAGAAAACAUAUCACAGCCGCUGCUUUGCAACGGGAGAAGAAAACAUAUCACAACCGCUAGCGGCCAACCACAACACCUCGACGAGAUGUCCUGAAACAAUGGCUUCGUUGAGAUCAACAAAAGACUCUAUUGCCAUGACAUGUAAAUGUCUGUAUUUUGGCGACAAUGAUUUAUUAUGCACUCGUAUGUACCGGGUUCAAUAGCGGCUACUGUCAAUUUAUCAUGUAUUUACUUUAUUAUUACGUAAAGAUUGGACGUGCAAGCAUAUAUGUUUUUGUGGUGUGUGUCCCAAAUUGUGUAUAUAUAUAUGUUAAUCUAACAUCUAUGUGUAGUG